rnacentral:rRNA from 1 species
AUCCUGGGGCUGGAGAAGGUCCCAAGGGUUCGGCUGUUCGCCGAUUAAAGUGGUACGUGAGCUGGGUUUAAAACGUCGUGAGACAGUUUGGUCCCUAUCUGCCGUGGGCGUUGGAAAUUUGAAGGGGGCUGCUCCUAGUACGAGAGGACCGGAGUGGACGAACCUCUGGUGUACCGGUUGUCACGCCAGUGGCAUUGCCGGGUAGCUAAGUUCGGAAGAGAUAACCGCUGAAAGCAUCUAAGCGGGAAACUCGUCUCAAGAUGAGUCUUGC